UGCCUUAACGACUGGUACGAUAGGCGUGCC
rnacentral:sRNA from 1 species